UGGCGGCGUGCCUAACACAUGCAAGUCGAACGAGAAAGUGGAGCAAUCCAUGAGUAAAGUGGCGCACGGGUGAGUAACACGUGACUAACCUACCCUUGAGUGGGGGAUAACCUAGAGAAAUCUGGGCUAAUACCGCAUAAUACCUACGGGUCAAAGGAGCAAUUCGCUUAAGGAGGGGGUCGCGGUCGAUUAGUUAGUUGGCGGGGUAAUGGCCCACCAAGACGAUGAUCGAUAUCCGGCCUGAGAGGGCGCACGGACACACUGGAACUGAAACACGGUCCAGACUCCUACGGGAGGCAGCAGUGGGGAAUUUUGCGCAAUGGGGGAAACCCUGACGCAGCAACGCCGCGUGGAGGAUGAAGUACUUCGGUACGUAAACUCCUUUCGAUCGGGACGAUUAUGACGGUACCGAGAGAAGAAGCCCCGGCUAACUUCGUGCCAGCAGCCGCGGUAAUACGAGGGGGGCGAGCGUUGUUCGGAAUUAUUGGGCGUAUAGGGUGC
rnacentral:rRNA from 1 species